AUACCAUGGUGAGGACAUCUUCUCAAUAGAUCUUUAAAUUGCUCCCAAGCUUCAUACAAAUAUUCACCAUCAUUCUAACAAAAGUUAUUUAUUUCUCCCCUCAGUGA